UACGGGGGGUGCGAGCGUUGUCCGGAAUCACUGGGCGUAAAGGGCGCGUAGGUGGUUUGAUAAGGGUGUGGUGAAAGUCCGGGGCUCAACCCCGGAUCUGCCGUGCCGACUGUCAAACUCGAGGACUGUAGAGGCAGACGGAAUUCCGGGUGUAGCGGUGGAAUGCGUAGAGAUGCGGCGGAACACCGAUGGCGAAGGCAGCCCCCUGGGCUGAGAUUGACGCUCAGGCACGAAAGCGUGGGGAGCAAACAGG
rnacentral:rRNA from 1 species